AUACGGAGGGUGCAAGCGUUAAUCGGAAUUACUGGGCGUAAAGCGCGCGUAGGCGGUUUUGCAAGUCGGAUGUGAAAGCCCAGGGCUCAACCUUGGAAUUGCAUUCGAAACUGCUUGACUAGAGUAUGGUAGAGGGAAGUGGAAUUUCCGGUGUAGCGGUGAAAUGCGUAGAUAUCGGAAGGAACACCAGUGGCGAAGGCGACUUCCUGGGCCAAUACUGACGCUCAGGUGCGAAAGCGUGGGGAGCAAACAGGAUUAGAAACCCCGGUAGUCC
rnacentral:rRNA from 1 species